CUACGGGGUGCUCCAGCCGGGAAUAUUGCGCACUUGACGAAAGUCUGACGCAGCGACGCCUCUUGGAGGAUGAAUGCCUUAUGUUUUUAAACUCCUUUUAUAAGGGAAUAAGUUCUGAAGGUACCUUAUGAAUAAGCACCUGCUAACUACGUGCCAGAAGCCUCGGUAAUACGUAGGGUGCAAGCGUUAUCCGGAUUUAUUGGGCGUAAAGCGUUUCGCAGGCGACUCAGUACAUCUUGCCUCAAAGCCUGGGGCUUAACUCCAGAAAGGGGUAAGAGAUGGCUGGGAUAGAAUCAAGUCGGGGAUACUGGAAUUUGCAGUGGAGGGGUGAAAUCCGUUGAGAUUGCAAAGAACACCAAGGGCGAAGGCAGGUAUCUAGACUUUGAUUGACGCUCAGGUACGAAAGCUAGGGUAGCGAAAGGGAUUAGAUACCCUUGUAGUC
rnacentral:rRNA from 1 species